rnacentral:tRNA from 1 species
AGAAACUUAGGAUAGACAUAAACCAGGAGCCUUCAAAGCCCCAAACAAGAGAUCAGCCUCUUAGUUUCUG